rnacentral:rRNA from 1 species
AGUGAACGCUGGCGGUAGGCCUAACACAUGCAAGUCGAACGGCAGCACAGUAAGAGCUUGCUCUUACGGGUGGCGAGUGGCGGACGGGUGAGGAAUACAUCGGAAUCUACUUUUUCGUGGGGGAUAACGUAGGGAAACUUACGCUAAUACCGCAUACGACCUACGGGUGAAAGCAGGGGAUCUUCGGACCUUGCGCGAUUGAAUGAGCCGAUGUCGGAUUAGCUAGUUGGCGGGGUAAAGGCCCACCAAGGCGACGAUCCGUAGCUGGUCUGAGAGGAUGAUCAGCCACACUGGAACUGAGACACGGUCCAGACUCCUACGGGAGGCAACAGUGGGGAAUAUUGGACAAUGGGCGCAAGCCUGAUCCAGCCAUACCGCGUGAGUGAAGAAGGCCUUCGGGUUGUAAAGCCCUUUUGUUGGGAAAGAAAAGCAGCAGGUUAAUACCCCGCUGUUCUGACGGUACCCAAAGAAUAAGCACCGGCUAACUUCGUG